GACGAACGCUGGCGGAGUGCCUAAUACAUGCAAGUAGGACGCAGUUGCGAACGGGUGAGUAACGCGUAGGUAACUACCUAUUAGAGGGGGAUAACUAUUGGAAACGAUAGCUAAUACCGCAUACUAGUAGAUGGACCUUCGUUGUAUUAGCUAGUAGGUAGGGUAAUGGCCUACCUAGGCAACGAUACAUAGCCGGCCUGGGAGGGUGAUCGGCAACACUGGGACUGAGACCAGGCCCAGGCUCCUACGGGAGGCAGCAGUAGGGGAGCUUCGGAAAUGGGGGGAACCCUGACCGAGCAACGCCGCUUGAGUGAAUAAGGUGUUCGGAUCGUAAAGCUCUGUUGUUAAGGAAGCGGUACUUAACCAGAAAGGGACGGCUAACUACGUGCCAGCAGCCGCGGUAAUAC
rnacentral:rRNA from 1 species